GAGAAGGGACGAGCGACAAUCUUCUCCAUUACAAAUGUUGAUUAACAGAGACGAGCGACAAUCUUCUCUUCUCCAUUACAAGUGUUGAUUCAAAGGAUUUGUAAUUAAGACUUGUUCAUCAGAUUUGCAAGAGUUGAUUGAUUUGGCUUGGAUUUGCGUUACUUGGUCCUAUCAACACUGAUGACACCACAAGUGCUGCUGAUAUGGAUUAGAA